rnacentral:rRNA from 1 species
AUGUACCGUGGCAGCGAGUUCGGGUACGCGAAGCUUGUGGCCACGAGGGAGAAGUUGACACUGAUGUACAUUGGGAACCAUGAUGGGCAAGUCCAUGACAUGGUCGAAAUACUGUCGCCGCAAGUCGGUGCCGCCGGCGGUGCGCCUGGUAAGUUGGUCGGUGCGAUGCCGGAGAAGAUGAGGUACCUGGGACUUGCCGGCGGCGUGGUGCUUGCCAUGCUGCUCGGUUUCAUGGCUGGCUUUGCUGUUAGAAAGAAGAAGGCGGGCUCUGCAGGAUGGAGUCCUGUACAAGAUGAGGAGUCCUGA